rnacentral:rRNA from 1 species
AGAGUUUGAUCCUGGCUCAGGAUGAACGCUGGCGGUCUGCUUAACACAUGCAAGUCGAACGCAACCUUCGGGUUGAGUGGCGGACGGGUGAGUAACGCGUGAGAAUCUGCCUUAGGGUCGGGGACAACCACUGGAAACGGUGGCUAAUACCGGAUAAGCCGAUUGGUGAAAGAUUUAUUGCCCGAAGAGGAGCUCGCGUCUGAUUAGCUAGUUGGUGAGGUAAGAGCUCACCAAGGCAGCGAUCAGUAGCUGGUCUGAGAGGACGAUCAGCCACACUGGGACUGAGACACGGCCCAGACUCCUACGGGAGGCAGCAGUGGGGAAUUUUCCGCAAUGGGCGAAAGCCUGACGGAGCAAGACCGCGUGAGGGAGGAAGGCUCUUGGGUUGUAAACCUCUUUUCUCAGGGAAGAAGCUCUGACGGUACCUGAGGAAUCAGCCUCGGCUAACUCCGUGCCAGCAGCCGCGGUAAUACGGAGGAGGCAAGCGUUAUCCGGAAUUAUUGGGCGUAAAGCGUCCGCAGGUGGCGAUUCAAGUCUGCUGUCAAAGCACGGGGCUUAACUCCGUUAAGGCAGUGGAAACUGAAUAGCUAGAGUGCCGUAGGGGUAGAGGGAAUUCCCGGUGUAGCGGUGAAAUGCGUAGAGAUCGGGAAGAACAUCGGUGGCGAAAGCGCUCUACUGGACGGCAACUGACACUC